GCCUGGGUGGCUCAGUUAGUUAAGUGUCUGACUUCAGCUCAGGUCAUGAUCUCACAGUCCGUGGGUUCGAGCCCCGCGUCGGGCU
rnacentral:tRNA from 1 species